rnacentral:rRNA from 1 species
CACGUAGGGUGCGAGCGUUGUCCGGAAUUAUUGGGCGUAAAGAGCUCGUAGGCGGUGUGUCGCGUCGGCCGUGAAAACCUGCAGCUUAACUGUGGGCGUGCGGUCGAUACGGGCAUCACUGGAGUUCGGCAGGGGAGACUGGAAUUCCUGGUGUAGCGGUGAAAUGCGCAGAUAUCAGGAGGAACACCGGUGGCGAAGGCGGGUCUCUGGGACGGUACUGACGCUGAGACGCGAAAGCGUGGGGAGCGAACAGG